GAUGUAUAUCUUUUUUUCUGAUAAAAUUCCUUUGUAGUUCAGAGAUAUUUUAGCCAGUUUUUCUUAAAAAUAAUAGCACUUUAUUUUGUCUACUCUCUUCAAAGAACUUUCCUUCCUAUUAUCUUUUAUUUUUCAUUUUCAUGGUAUCUUUGUGAAAUGAAUGGGCAAAUUAUUAUUGUUACAGAUGAAGGAAAUAGAGGUUCAGAGAGAUGAAAAGGUUUUGACAGUGGUAAACAGAAGUGAUGCUAAAAUGUCUUUCUAGGAAUGCCCACUGGGGAGAAUGGAGUGAGUUGAUACUGAGCUAGAAACAGCCUGUUGGAGACGGGGAUCACCCCAGAAGGCAAGGACCCAUUUCCUCUCCACAUGAAGACUGACUAUCCAUACAUCAGUUUUAGGACACAGUGGUAAUGUCAGAUCUGACCUGGGUCACAGUCAUUGUGCAAGCAGAGGAAGGGAGUGACCAAGAGGGGUUACAGUUUCGAGGCUGAGAACAGAAUCCUCAGGAGCCAGAGAAAUGAAGGUGAUUACCCAAAGUGAUCCUUGAGAAGGGAAUUCAGUGCAAUCCUCAGUGAGAAAUUCCGGCCCCAACAGCAGCAAAAGAAACUUUUAUCUGGUAGAUUUAAAAAAUUCCGAACAUGACGUGUUUGUGCUGCAAUUUUUGUUACUUAAAGAAAGAACCAUAUUAGAAACUUUAAAUGAAAAUGCUUUGUAAUUGCAGAAUAAGACAGAUGCACAGUUUGAGAACCUGUCUUUGUGUUUGUUCUUCCAAAUGAAAUAUGAGGAAGUCAUCAUCAAAUUGUGGAAAAAACAACCAGAACCCGCUCAAACAUAUAUUCUGCAUAUAACAGGAAUAUAUUGUAGUAUAUGAAAAUUUUCACUUGAAAUAAAACAUAUUGUAGAAAAUAGAAAAUUACCUAAACAAAUUCAAAAAAGUGUGCAGACACACUUUUAAGGAACAGCUAUGUAGAGAUACACAUACAUCCAGGGUUGUGUAAUUGGGCCAAUACUUCAUUUUUAGCUAUAUUUAUUCUUUUUUUUUUUUUUUUUCCUUUUUAGUCCUGCACCUAUGGCCUAUGGAAGUUCCCAGGCUAGAGGUCAAAUUGGAGUUGCAGCUGCCAGCCACAGCCACAGCCACAGCAGUGCUAGAUCUGAGCCAUAUCUCAUGGCAAUGCUGGAACCUCACCCUACUGAGCAAGGCCAGGGAUGGAACCCACAACUUCAUGGACCCUAUAUUGGGCUCUUAACCCAUUGAGCUGCAAAAGGAAUUCUAAGCUACAUUUAUUCUUAAGAAUUGUUCCUGAACCACAGGUUUCCCUCUUCAUAGCAAGCUAAUUAAAGGAAAAAAAAACAUUUGGCACACUCUUCUCCUGUGUAUGUAUGCAGGUGUGUGGGUAAGUUUGGAGGGAGUUCUUGUUUGUUUAUUGCAUGUGUGUGGAAACCUUUAUUUCCUUAUUUGCGAACACAUAAUUCAUACCUCCCUUAAUAGAACAUGGAUAAUAUAUUCCAAAUGAUCUUCCUCUUGUUAAUCCCGUCUCUAACCCCGGUUUUUGUGUUGAAAAUUCCCACAUGCCCAUAAAUAUGAUCAUCAGGCUCCUAACAUUUAUUCAGUUACCAUUACAAAUAGAAUUCCCCCUCUAAUAUUUCAAAUCCAGUGAAAGUGAAAUCUUUCUUCAGCACUGUACCAGAUAUCGCUAGGAAGGAGCAAGUUAGCCACCAAACUGUUUUGCUUAAGGGUCACUGCUUUGUUUUUCUAUUAAUUCAUUGCAUAUUUCUUGAACACAAUCUAUGUGGCAGGUAUGACCCUAGGUCCUUGAUCUAUAUCAGUAAACAAAACUGACACAAAUCCUUUCCUCUACAGAGACUACAUUCUAGCAUACUUUCACCAAAACACAACUUGAGUUCUCUCUUGUUACCAGAUGGAAUGCUUUAAUCUUUGUAGAGAUACAGUUUAGCAAAGAGUGAAAGUGUGUGGGUACAUCUGAGCCCUAAAAGAGGCCAAGGAUUGAGGAUUUUUUUCUGAAUAUGAUCUCUUUUAAUCCUCACAGCAAUUGUAUUUUUUCACUGAGGAGCCUGGUGUUCAAGGUGAUUUUACACAGCUUGUAUCAGAUAUAACUGCAGUAGAGCCCCUGUUUUCUGCCUUAAAUCUGGUUUCCUCAGAUGGAAAGACACGCUGUGGUUGUUUUUAGCACAAUUCUUUUCCUUAGAUUACAAACUGGCCCCUCAAAGAUACUGAUCUGCUUUUCUAUAUCAAUGCAAAAUACUCUCCCUUACAUAUUUCCUAUCAGAGAAGUAACAAAAAUAUAAAUGCUCCCUCUCAGAAAAUAAAAAAGUCUUCUUCUUUAUCAUGACUGGAUUCUUCUGCUUGCCUCCCCUUCCUCAGAUACCCUCUUUCACUUCCAAAGGUUAUCUGGAGGUCUUGCCCCAACAACACUCUAAUCUGUCCUCUCACAGAGGCUGCACAUUCUUUAUGGUUUAUGUUUUGGCAUAAAAUAACAAACAUAUUUAUAUUGGUCUGGAUGUUGUUGGAUUUCUGUUCCUCUACUAGUUAUCACAGUGCAAGAUUAAAGGUGACCUUUUAUCCAUUUUCACUAUUGGACUGUGAACUCUCUGAGGGAAUGCGUAGUCCAAUCUGCUUUUAGUGCACCAACUUGCUUGGACCAGUGCCUGUAUGUGACCCCAAAAUAUGUCCUCAGCAAUUGGAGACAUCUUCCAAUCCUAUCUGUGUCUCUCUAGGUCCCUAAGAAGCAGACAGCAAGAUGGGAUUAAAAUGUAAGAGGAUUUGGGGGGAGAUGCUGGGGAGGGGGAGUGGAAAGCUGGAGAUAACUGGGUGUCAUCAUCUGGGAAACAGGUUGAAACCCUGUGCAAAAGAAAGAGAAGGAAGCUCUUAAAGUCCAAGCUUCAGCAAAGUGGUCCAGAGCUAGAGUUUCCAUCAGGAAUAGGCAUGUCUCAGUAGCCCUGCUGUCCUCAAGCAUGGGCUUGAUGAAGACCUUAGGAAGAACAUCUUCCAGCAUCACCAUGGGCCAGAGUUCAGAAUGUGGCAGCUGGGCUAUUGGCCAAUUAAAUUCCUCACAGUAGAAGAUCUGGGAGAUACAUUGACCAGACUGAUACAGGACCCUUGAAGCAUCUACUUCCACUCUUAACACAUCAUGUGUAUUCCUUAUAUAUGCAUAUUUUUAUAUACAUAUAUUCCAUGUGCAUUUUUUACACUUACCUAUUUUGCGGCAGCACAAUAGGUUGUUGACCCCACGUAUUUUGUAUUUCAUUUACUUGAAAUUCUAUACAUAUAUACAAAUGAAUGAGUACAAAAUAUAAUUUAUAUAUUUAAAUAUGUAAGCACAGAUGUUAUUUAAUUUAACUAUAGUUAAAACAUCAUUUUAAAGUACUAAAGAAGAAUAUAAAGCAUUAUACAAUGAUUAGAGAGUGGUAUGAGUAAUAAUUUCCAAAUAUAAAUACUAUAUGGUAUAUAAAUAAAUUUUUCAGAUAUAUCGUAAGAAAUAAGUACCUUCUAUUUUUGUAGGAUUAGAGAACUGUCUUGACAUUCUCACAGGCAUAAUGUGCUUUUAAAAUUGUCUAACAUUUGCAUUUGAUAUAUACUUUAUAUGUUAUGUUAUUUGAUAUCUUAGGUAGAAUCACCUAAAUCAGUAUUAAUAGUAGUAGUAGGGAAACACACUAUAAAUUGAGGCAUCUAAAUGAUAAUUAAUUAUUAAGCAAAUAGAAAUUCAAUAUCAAGCAGCCACAUAAGGAAAGGAUUGGUAUCAAAUAAGCACCUUUCGGGAACUCAGAAAUUCCCUCAACUUAAGGAAUUAAUAGUUUCCUAUGUUUAGGUGAAGAUUUUAUUUUUUAUUGAAUAUCUGAUGAUGUGCAGUGAAAUAUAACGUUUGUAGACCAUCACUAAAGAAUCUCUAUUAUACCAUGAAUAAAAUUCUCAUAUUCUUCAAAUUCUUCACCAAGAGCCCAGAGAAACAGUAAGGCAAGCUUAGAAAAGUGAUUUCUCUAACUUUCAAGGGCAUAACUCUAAUAACUCCAUUUAAACCAGCCGAGUGUAGGCGUUAUAUUUGCUGGUGACAAAGCUGCAUAUUUAUGGAUCGUAUUCCCCGAGGCUAUAAAAAACCAGGAACAUGUGGAAGAGAAUUACUUUGAAAAGUCUUAUACAAUAUGAAGAACAGCACAAGAAACAAUUUUAGCCUUUGCAUUUCGGCUUUUUUCUAGUGAAAUUCCCAUCUUCUACACGCCUCAUUGUGGGAGGGGUAAGGGGUAAUACUUUUUCUAAGCUUUCUGCUGACAAUGAAGUUUACUUCCAGUCAUGAUCAAGGACCCUCUUUUCAGCUCAGAUUUAGGGUUUGUUAAAAGUACAGAAUAUACCGUUACAGCACUGAUCUUAACAAAACCUUUCUGAACCUUCAGUUUUGUUUGAUUUUGUAUUUUUAAGCUAAUUGCACACGCCAGAACAUUCUGCAGCAGCUUACUAACAGGGGAAGAGCGGAAAUUCAGCCUUGCUAUUCAGCAUGAACUUUUCAAUGAUUCUGUUUUCUGUAUGAUCAUCAGAAUUUUCCUCCCAUAGCUGGAGACCUGCUGAGAUGUGUAUUUAAGCGCAGGAGUGCAAUAUUAGCCUCAUGUAGCAGGAAGAGAAAACUGUAGCUUUUCAUGUUUUAAAGUCUUUUCUUCUUAGGAUGCUGAUUGCAAGCUAACGGGUAAUAAUUUCCAUCUGGUUGUGUCUUGCACCUGCUUUACACCCCCAUUUUCAUCUUUCUCUUUGAGGAGGAAAGUUUUUGCUUUUUCUUUCAAGAGUGGCUAAUAUCUACUGUAAGAAUACAAAUAGUAACAAACAUGUGGGCUCUCCUAGCUUUCAACAAAAACAAGCUUUAAUUAAAAGGCAGCAGAAGUCAUGAAUCUCUACUUUUUUAGCUAGAAAACAAAUAUGAGAACUCCUGAGAGUUAAUUUUAUUUUAUUUAAUCCUUCCUAAAGCAUCAAUGGCUUGGAAACUAUUGAGGAGGGUUUCAAAAUAACUCACAAAUUAAAUCAAGUUGUAGUUAAUUUUCUACAAAUAAAUGCUUGUGGAAGAAACAUGUGGGAGAAGCAUAUAAAAUCUCACGAAUAAAUGAUAUUCCCUUCCAUUGUCUACAGUGUGUUUUGCACAGACAAAAUGCUGGAAAUUCCCAGUUGAUCUUACAUUUCUGAUUAAAUUAGGGGUGGAGACGAUGAGGGAGUAUUUGGAUUCCAUUUAAAUUUCCAUUCACCAAGGCACAAUGUUCAGAUAAGUCCUGUAACGACCUAUCAACUACAUAUUUGCUUGAUGGGCAGUAAUACUUAACACUAAUAUAAAAUAUUUGUCAAAUUGUAUAUAAAAUCCAAAUUUGCUAUGUGAACGGCAAUUCUGGAGGAUAGUCAAUAUAGCAAGAAAAUGAUGAUCAUUUGAAUACUGGGUGGUGACAUCCAAGGAAUACUGGUAUUGCAGAGAUGUUGAAUUAAAUAUAUUCUCUUCAGGAGUUCCCAUCGUG
rnacentral:lncRNA from 1 species